rnacentral:pre_miRNA from 1 species
CCGUGCUUGUCCGGGUUUCGCGACGCUCGAACGCCGUUUUACAGUCCGUUCGUUGUCGACGAAACCUGCAUAUCGCACGG